GUGCUCACUUCAGCAGCACGUAUACUAAAAAAUUGGAACGAUACAGAGAAGAUUAGCAUGGCCCCUGAGCAAGGAUGACACACAAAUUCAUUUUGAAAAUUAUUUUU
ensembl:snRNA U6 U6 spliceosomal RNA